rnacentral:rRNA from 1 species
UACGUAGGGUGCGAGCGUUGUCCGGAAUUAUUGGGCGUAAAGGGCUCGUAGGCGGUCCGUCGCGUCGGGAGUGAAAACUCAGGGCUUAACCCUGAGCCUGCUUCCGAUACGGGCAGACUAGAGGUAUGCAGGGGAGAACGGAAUUCCUGGUGUAGCGGUGGAAUGCGCAGAUAUCAGGAGGAACACCGGUGGCGAAGGCGGUUCUCUGGGCAUUACCUGACGCUGAGGAGCGAAAGUGUGGGGAGCGAACAGG